UACGUAGGGUGCAAGCGUUAAUCGGAAUUACUGGGCGUAAAGCGUGCGCAGGCGGCUUUGCAAGACAGAUGUGAAAUCCCCGGGCUUAACCUGGGAACUGCAUUUGUGACUGCAUGGCUGGAGUGCGGCAGAGGGGGAUGGAAUUCCGCGUGUAGCAGUGAAAUGCGUAGAUAUUCGGAGGAACACCGAUGGCGAAGGCAAUCCCCUGGGCCUGCACUGACGCUCAUGCACGAAAGCGUGGGGAGCAAACAGG
rnacentral:rRNA from 1 species